AUCACACUUAAAGUUGGUUUCAUACUGAGAUAAAGCUAAGAUACAACAGACAAAGUUCAUUGCAGUGUGAUUACUGAUACCAAAAACAGACUGAAAAUUCAUUCAUUGGGAAGAAAAAUACAGAACAAUGUACAUUAAUCAUUUAGGCAAAAAGGAUCAAACAAAUUCCCCUAGACCAUAAAGUCUAUAACAAAAGAUGAAAAAAUGAACAACUUUACAUCAAAAUAUUACUACAAAUUCAUCAAACCCAGAAAUAGUAAGACAUUUGUAUUUGUCCUACAUACAUCAAAAUGUAGAUUAGUAAUUUAGAUAGAGAGGGUCAAACAAAUUCCCCUUGACUAUAAAGUAUACAACAAACCAU